rnacentral:rRNA from 1 species
GCGGUAUCCUGACCGUGCAAAGGUAGCAUAAUCAUUUGCCUUAUAAUUGAGGGCUCGUAUGAAUGGAAUUACGAAAAUUUUUCUGUCUUUUAUUUAUUAUUAUAAUUUGUAUUUGGUGUGAAGAUACACUAAUUUUUUAAGGGGACAAGAAGACCCUUUUGAGCUUUAUUUAUUUGUUUUUUUUUUAAUGGCAUUUAAUUUGGUUGGGGCGAUCAAGAAAGAGGGUUUUUAUUCUUAUAUAUCUUUCUUUUUUAUUUUUAUAGGUCCAUUAUUAUUGGUUUAUAGAUUAAGUUACCAAAGGGAUAACAGCGUAAUUUUUUUUGAGAGUUCUUAUUAAAAAUAAAGAUUGGCACCUCGAUGUUGGCUUAGGA